GCCUGGAAGUAUGGAGGAUCAUGAUUUAUCGGCCAUGCUUCAGAGACCAUAUCCCCGGUAGCAGCCGUGCCUGCACAUCAACAUUCUCACCAGCCACUCUAUGUGAGCAUGGAAGACAACAUGAAAAGUACUAGUACUUGUAUUGUGGAAUGGAUCUUGGAUCGCAGAUCACGGAUCACGGGCAGUUGGAUAUGCAGGAUACUAGCAUCCAGCAGGGAGAAGAACGGCUGCGCUGGUCUUGUUGGUGGGAUAGUUAACUAGAUCUCGACAAAAAAUAUAGGAAAAUAGAAAAAUGAAAUAAAA
rnacentral:sRNA from 1 species